UCCCUGGUGGCUUAGAGGUUAAAGCGUCUGCCUCCAAUGCGGAAGACCGGGGUUCGAUUUCUGGGUUGGGAA
rfam:Ovis aries breed Texel chromosome 6, whole genome shotgun sequence.